CCACCACACCAAAGAUCCUUGUUUCUCUACUGCGCCAAUAUGAGCACCAUCGCCUCCACCUCUACCUCCUGGUCUCCACGUCCGAUUCCAACCACCACGGCACUGCCAAGUACGCACGGUGGCGUCCAAUCCCACAGAUCCUCCUCCUCCUCUGAUUGCGUCAACCUCAGCCGCAGCAGCUCACCAUCGCUUCCUGGAAGUUUGAUAACGUCUCCAAUUUGAUUUUAAGUAAAUGGAGGCUGCAUUCAUGGAAGUUUAUGUGCAGUUGGUUUUUAGAAUUUUAGUGUUGUUGCUCAGUACAGUUACUGAAUUAUUGACUUAUUGUUGGAAGUUGCUUGGAGUUUGUUAAUUACUUAAUUUUGUUAUGUUCAACCUUUUUGGUUUGUAAUUUUAGUAUUUAAAAUUUUUGAUUUCUUUCA